UUAGUUACGUCGGGUGUGAAAAUCUGGGGCUCAACCCCAGACCUGCACUCGAUACGGGCUAGCUAGAGUUUGGUAGGGGAGACUGGAAUUCCUGGUGUAGCGGUGGAAUGCGCAGAUAUCAGGAGGAACACCAAUGGCGAAGGCAGGUCUCUGGGCCAAUACUGACACUGAGGAGCGAAAGCGCGGGGAGCGAACAGGAUUAGAUACCCUGGUAGUCCGCGCCGUAAACGGUGGGCGCUAGUUGUGGGGACCUUCCACGGUCUCUGCGACGCAGCUAACGCAUUAAGCGCCCCGCCUGGGGAGUACGAUCGCAAGAUUAAAACUCAAAGGAAUUGACGGGGCCCCGCACAAGCAGCGGAGCAUGCGGCUUAAUUCGACGCAACGCGAAGAACCUUACCAAGGCUUGACAUAUACCGAAAAGCAGCAGAAAUGUUGUGUCCGCAAGGGCGGUAUACAGGUGGUGCAUGGUUGUCGUCAGCUCGUGUCGUGAGAUGUUGGGUUAAGUCCCGCAACGAGCGCAACCCUCGUUCUGUGUUGCCAGCAUUAAGUUGGGGACUCACAGGAGACUGCCGUGGUUAACACGGAGGAAGGUGGGGAUGACGUCAAAUCAUCAUGCCCCUUAUGUCUUGGGCUGCACGCAUGCUACAAUGGCAGGUACAAAGGGCUGCGAUACCGUAAGGUGGAGCGAAUCCCAAAAAGUCUGUCUCAGUUCGGAUUGAGGUCUGCAACUCGACCUCAUGAAGUCGGAGUUGCUAGUAAUCGUAGAUCAGCAACGCUACGGUGAAUACGUUCCCGGGGCUUGUACACACCGCCCGUCACGUCACGAAAGUCGGUAACACCCAAAGUCAGUGGCCCAACCGUAAGGAGGGAGCUGCCUAAGGUGGGAUCGGUGAUUGGGACGAAGUCGUAACAAGGUA
rnacentral:rRNA from 1 species